GUCUUGAAGAUUGAAACAUGUACUAAAACUGGAAUAAUACAGAGAAAAUUAGCAUGGCUAAUUACGCAAGGAUGACAUGCAAAUUNGUGAAGUGUUUCAAAUUUUU
rnacentral:snRNA from 1 species